GACGAACGCUGGCGGCGUGCUUAACACAUGCAAGUCGAGCGGAAAGGCCCUGCUUUUGUUGGUUGCUCGUUUGGCGAACGGGUGAGUAACACGUGAGUAACCUGCCCUUGACUUACUGAUAACUUCAGGAAACUGGGGCUAAUACCGCAUAGGAUCUCCUGCUGCAUGGUGGGGGUUGGUAAGAUUCGGCGGUUGGGGCUGGACUCGCGGGUUAUCAGCUUGUUUGUGGGGUAGGUGCUUACCAAGGCUUCGACGGGUAGCCGGCCUGAGAGGGUGACCGGCCACCUUGCGACUGAGAUACGGACCAGACUCCUACGGGAGGCAGCAGGCGGGAAUAUGGCACAAUGGGCGGAAGCCUGAUGCAGCAACGCCGCGUGCGGGAAGCCGGGCUUCGGGUUGUAAACCGAUUUCGCAGGUGACGAAGCGUGCGUGACGGUAAUGGGUAAGGAAGCAACGGCUAACUACGUG
rnacentral:rRNA from 1 species